rnacentral:tRNA from 1 species
GGGAUUGUGGCUCAGUGGUAGAGUGCUUGCCUGGCAUGUGUGAGGCCCUAGGUUCGAAUCUCAGCACUGCUU